rnacentral:rRNA from 1 species
UACGAAGGGGGCUAGCGUUGCUCGGAAUCACUGGGCGUAAAGCGCACGUAGGCGGAUUGCUAAGUCAGGGGUGAAAUCCUGGAGCUCAACUCCAGAACUGCCUUUGAUACUGCGAGCUCGAGUCCGGGAGAGGUGAGUGGAACUGCGAGUGUAGAGGUGAAAUUCGUAGAUAUUCGCAAGAACACCAGUGGCGAAGGCGGCUCACUGGCCCGGUACUGACGCUGAGGUGCGAAAGCG